rnacentral:tRNA from 1 species
GGUUUUGUAGUGUAAUUAACAUUUUAGAUUGCAAAUCUAUAGAUGUGGGUAAUUCCCGCCGGAACUU